CUCAAUAGCUCAGGCAAAGCUAAACCUACCUUAACCAAUCUCCAUCCUCAGGAGAAUUUAAAUUUAGAAAAAUGGAGAUGAUUCUGACACAGCUUAAAGAUUUUUCCUCAAAAUCUGUCAUCUUUAACAACUGUUGCCAGGAAGAAGUUUAUUCCUUAAGGGAUGAUACAGAGGAAGAUGGACCAACGAGAUCAAGUUCAGAUAUGGAUUGUGCCUUAGCUUCACUCAAAAGGGAACUGGUAAGAACAUUGGAAAUAAUAUGAAAUUGACACAAAGAGAAAGAGGAUAAGCAACCUAAAUAGGUCAGGGGAACCAUAAUUGAGCAGUAGGAGACAUGCCUGGUUAACAACAAAGAGCAGAGAGCACUGGAUACCUGAAUACAUGAAUACAUUGCACAUGCAGAGCAAAUACAUUGCACAUUCCUAUUUCAUUAGGAAUAGAGUCUUGUUAUUUUUACAAAAGCAAGAAGUGCCUGCCAUGAUGGCAUUGUAUGGCUCUGGUUUGCCAAACAUUUGAAAACCUAUAGAUUCAUAAGCAAUUUACUAGUGUGUCAUUUCCUCUGACCAAAAAGUGAAUGACUCAGGGUCACUUCUUCAUUCACUCCUACUAUUGUUCUAGCUAUUCUUAGGGCUGUAAUCUGCAGGGAACUUCUUGUUCUCUGAAAAUGCCUAAGACCUGCCCUUAUUAAUUUUUUUAAAUGAGUGUUCAAUUUUAUCAAAUUUAGAAAUGAGGCACCUGUUUUCCAGUUCAAGAGCCAUCAUUAGCAACCUCCAUACUUUAUGUCCUGCACUGCAUUUGGAAAAUCCUCCCUUUGUCUGGUCUAGUAAUUGGUUUCCAAGUGACUGCUCAAAGAGUGAUUUUUUUCUUCAAUGUCAAAUACACUGACAUUGGACUUGAUUAUUUCAAAUCUGUUCACAGUGUUAGAUGACUCCCAACAAAUAAGAAAACUUUGUACAGAACUAAAACUGUGUUUUAAAAUUGGUUUUCUGUUCAAUUCCAAUAAUUUACUUGUUUAUAAUUAUCUUUCCAUUACAUAAGCUAUUUGUUUUCUAUGUGAGAGAAACUGCUUCAUUAGCCAUCACAGUGAGCCAAGAAAAUGUAGAAGUAUCGAUUCACACCACAGCACCUGGGUGAUGUUGGGGGUGCAAGGAUUAUGGACUGCUGAAUGCAAAAGGUUUCACUUAGUUUUCAAAGCAAGUCAAAAUUAUUUAAACCAAAUAGUUCCUGUGGUUGUCUUUCCUUUGGGGGAUUUGCUCUAUUGUUCUAAACUGGAAGAUUUGGUGCUGAAAUUGAAUUUCUACCCACAUUGUAAUUCUCCUUUAAAAGAAAAAUAAAAAGGCUAAGGGCUGGAGAUAUAGCUCAGUGGUAUAGUUCUUGCCUAGCAAGGCCCUGGCUUUGAUCCUUAUUACCAUUAAUGAAUAUAUACAUACAUAUAUUUUUAAAACAGUCUGUGUAUUAGAAGCAUUUAAAUGCCACAGCUGGUCGGUAAAAAGUUUACCAGAUUAGAGUCCCACAUUUCUUGGGACACUUGCAAGAUCUGAGUAUCAAACAAAGAGUAAUGAUAAAGAGAUAGAAACAUUAAUCACCCUAAUCUAAUCAUUACACAUCAUAUGCAUGUAGUAAAAUAUCACACUGCACCUUAUAAAUGUGAACGAUUAUUAUGCUAUUCAAAAAAAUUCUUUCAAAGGUGUUAAAGGAGAUCUCAGUGCUAACUACCCUGAUUUGGCCAUUACACAUCCUGUACACACCUGGAAUAACUACAAUGUACCCCAUAAAUAUGUACAAUUAAGAUAAUAAUUUUUAAAAUUAAUUUAAAAGGUAGACACUUUGCCCUUUAACCAACAGAAAGUUCACGAUAUUAAGAGAGGUGAAUCAUUGGAAUGGCAUUACCUGUGAAUAAAUGGAGAAAGUGUGAGCAGUCCUGGCAGACCCAAUGCAGCCACCUUGUACAAAUGGGGAAGCUCAGGACCAUGGGCAAGGGGUGCCAUUCCCAUCUGGAAAAUGUGAUAAAUAGUACUUUGCCCUUCCUUGGCCUUGCUAUGCAGUACCUCUAAAUUAAUGCAUUUAAGCAUUGAGAUCACCAGCAGUACUGAUUCCUUCUCCAAUAGGCUAUCUGUUAUAAAAUAAAAUAAUCCUGACAUUAUUUGCUCACUGGAAAGAAAUUUGUCACUAUAGCAAAUAAAAACUAGUCCUGAUGUUUUUCCAGUAAGCUUGUCCCUAACAAUAUCCUUUACUAUUGCUGUACAGAAAGAUUUGAUAGCCUUUGUCUAUUAAUGAUAUUUGUUAUCAUUUAUAGACACACAUAAUAUGUAUUUUUCUUCAUAUAUGUACAAGAAAAGAUAUAUAUAUAUAUAUAUCUCACAUCGUAUGUAGUGCUUCCAUCUGCUGAUUUAGAGUAAGAGGAAAAGAUUGAGAGGAUCAGAAACUAUGUUUUUGUACAUUCGAUUUUGAAAGAACUAUAUUUUUCCACUUUGAGAAAACAGAUCUUCCUCUUCAAAGUCGCCUUUCUAAUUCGGUACAUCAAUAAGAAACUGACCAUUGGGAGGAUGCAGAGAUCCAUGGUGUCAGGAAACCUGGGAAAACAGUAAACAGGCCCUUGUUUCUAAAUGUGAUUUCCAGAUACUCACUAUCCAGCAACACUUUGUAAUCCAGAGGCUGUUCCUGACAACUGGGGGCAGCUGUGCCAUGUCUGUGAUUCGGAGCAUUUUUUCCAACCAUUUCAUGAAAUAUUUGUUGUAAUCCUACUUCAGGGCAGUGGCCUAAGUGGCUCAUUAUGUAAAAGAUCUGAAAUUUUCUGCUGGAUUUUUGUAUCAUUACAUAACUUUCUCAUCUUAAUUUUUUAAUUUUUGUACCAACUAACAACCUACCAAGUAUCAGUGAUUGUGAUAUGAAAUCAGACAAAAAUCCUUGCCCUCAAAGAGACCCUGACAGUCUUAUCUAAAAUCAAAUUCUUUCUUCUCUUCCUCUACUUUUUAUUUCCUGCAACACCAAUAAAUCAAAUGAUAACUAGCUAACAUCCUGUGACACCGGAACUUAUUACCAAGAAAGGUAAGUUUGUGGGAGGAAAGAAAAAACAGCUUGACAGACACUGUUUUGACUUCUUUUCAAACGUCUUAACUAAACUCAGGAUAAUCUUUAAAGUAUUUUUUACAUUAAGGAGCUUAGACUCAGAGAGCUUGUGUGUGACAUAUCCAAGGUCCCACUGCUCCUGACAGAAGUAGGAUUUAACCCAAGUCCUGUGUAACUCCACAGAGCCCACUCUAUUUUGUAGUUACACUUUAUCCUAAGAAAAGUAGUAGCAAGCAGAGUAGAGUGGCAGGUGCAUGUUAGAAUGGAAGGAAACCCCUAUUCAGAAAUUAAGAAAUGAGAAUUUUAUCUUGUUCUUAAAACAAAGUCAGCCAGGUGUGAUGGCACUCACCUGUAAUCCCAGCAGCUCAGGAGGCUGAGGCAGAAGAAUCACAGAUUCAAAGCCAUGCUCAGCAACUUAGGGAGGCUCUAAGCAACUUAGUGAGACCCUGUUCCAAAAUAAAAAAUAAAAAUGAGCUGGGGAUAUAGCUCAGUGGUUAAGCAUCUUUGCGUUCAAUCCCAGGGACUAGGAAAAAAAAAUAAUUAAAUAGCAAGAGUCAGUAAGAAUCAUAGUGAGACUGAGAAGUAAAGGUUAGUAUUUGACUCAGGACCUAUAGGGGAUUCCUGGGUCUCUUUUAAAAUUCUAGCAUCAAUUUCUUUGUUCUAUAUCAAUUUACUGGAUACCUAAUAAGAGAAUAGCACUGGGUGAGUCACCAGUACAUCACAGUGAACUAAAGUCUCUUCGGGAGAGCCAAACAAAUCCCAGAGAAGUAAACAAAAACAUAAGCAAAAUAAUUAGGUUAUCUGGAUUUCUCUGACAGGGUGACAUUUGAAUAGAUUCCCAAAGCAAACAUCUCCAGGAUGAAUUUUCUAGGCAGAAAGAAUUGCAAAUACAAAGCCUGGGGCAAGAAAGAGCUUGAUUUGUGGAAAGAAACUGAAAAAUAAGUUGUGAUGGCCUUGUAAGCACUAGCUGGAAGAUAGAAAAUGGUAUGGAAAGGUAGAUGGGAUGUUGGUUCCUCAUUCUUAAAUGGUAACACCUCACUGCAUUCACUCCAUGAGGAUUAAGCAAGAUAGAAUAUCCAGAUCACCUAGCAUAUGGGGCUGGCAGGUGGCAAGUGCAUGCCUCUGUGUGUGUGUGUGUGUGUGUGUGUGUGUUAGCCAUUUUCUGCCCCUCAUCCUGCAGGUAAGGGAGCUAAGAAUCAGAGAUAAAGUGACUUGUCUUAAGAUUGCACAUUUUGGAGGGCCUAGAACCAAACUUGUGCUACUUCAUCUCAGUGUUUUCGCUCUCUGUACUUCAGUGAAUCACUGCCAAGUGAAAGGAGUUAAUAAACCUGGUUCUGCCUAUGGGAUUGGAUAUCAUGUACAGGGAGAGGAAGGUCAGUUUCUGGGAGCGUGGGAUUACUUUGAGCAUUGAUCUAAAAACUCUUACACAAGAAUUUCUUAAGGGCAUACUUGCGUUCCAUUAAGCAUUUCUCUUUGCCAUUUCUGCUGAGCGAAAGAAGAAAAAAAAAAUCCUGCCCCACACUUUUUAAAAGCAGAAAACAAAUGGAAGUUUCAUGAAAUUGUGUGGGUGCUCUUGACUUAUUUUUAUCUAUCACCCUAAAAUGUGCCCACAUGGAAGAUAAAUAGUGUUAUUACAUUCGAUGUCUAGUACUAAGUUCCAAAAAAUGCUGACAAGUCACUAAUCCCAAUAAAAUAUAUGGAAGUUAAUUAUAACUGAAGCCCACAAAAGUCAGCCAGGAGAUUGCAAUCAACAAGAUUCACUGAAUGAACACUUUGUUCUGUGCUGUGAAGGGGACAUGCAGUUCUCUCCCCGUUCGGCUCCUGCAGUGCCAUCAUAAGUCCUAAGUACAGCCCAUGCUAAGAACAAAUGUGCCAUAACCCAGCAAAGGAAAGGAAACAUUCUCGAUGGCUUUUGCCUAAAGGAGGAGAUUCUAAAAGCCCAGAGACUGCACAGAGCCUCAUGCUAUCUGUGUAACCUUAAUCCUGAGGUCAUUCAUGCCAUUUUUUUUUUCCAAGAAGAACAUCCAUCAGGCAUUUGGCAUAGUAGCAUCUUUGCCUGAAAUAGGACUAGCUGCAAGGCCACCAGAAGUUCAGGCAGCUACCAAUGGCUCAUAAAGCCUUACGAGGAAGGCUGUGUGAGAGACUUCAAGAGCUGAGGUUCCUACAGAAGGCAACAAGAUUUUCUGCCUGGGAUUCAUAUGAUGAAUCAGCCCUGGGUCAAAGAAAAAUAUGGGGCAAGAGAACAUGAAUGAAACGAGAAGGUGUGUGGGCUUCUGCUGCUCCUCUCUGACUGGCUGGAGGGACAACAGCACAGCUACUGUCACUGGAGAGAGAACAGCACUGUUAACUCAUGAGCAGAUCAUUCAUUCAUUCACCUACUCACUCAAAAUGUAUUUUAUAUCAUGCUUCGCUGUGCAAGGGAUAUAAUUUUUCCAAUAUGUAACAUUAAUCAUUCAAGAAUUUCAUUGAGAAAUCUAUAGUUUUGUAAUUAUAAAAAUAAAUUUGGAAAUGCUGAUUACUAUAAUCUUCUUUUAGAAGACUCAUAUUGUGUAAAAAUUCUGAGAAGUUUUACACUCAAAAAAAAAAACCUGAUUUUUUUUAACCCAGUCUAAUUGACUCAUUUCAACCAAAACCUAUUAACAACUUAUGGAACUAGUAUUAUGUGAAGCACACUUUAAUAAAAGCUGCAACUCUCUAUUUAGUCAGCCCUAAAUUUAUUUUUUAAACUGUUUUGAUUUCAUAUGCACCAAUAUACCUUUGUAGAUCUCUGAAAAAUUGCUUUUCUGCUUAAGCUUAGUCUCAAAAUAAAUACAAUUUUUCUUUGGGCUUCAGUACAAAGAUAGAAAUCCUGUGUUCCUGUGAUUGAGUUUAAGUGGACUAGUAAGAGAAGGAAGGGACUUUGUGCCUCACUGAAACAAGCCAUCCCAGGCGUAUUUUCGCAUAUUCAUUGGGGUCCCAGCAAAAUGCUCGAUGCUCUUCAGGUAUGCUUAUGAGUACAUUAGAAGUCAUGAAAUUGAACCAUGCACUCAUUUAUCCUGCUUCAGGGGGGUGACAGUCUAGCAGAGGCAUAAUACAUGCACAAUGAAGAUUAUGUCACAAGGUGGCCAAUGACAUUGCCACAAGGAAAGUGCAGUUAAGUGCAAAGAAUGGUCCAGGAAGAAAAAGAUUAUCCCCACCUCAGGUGAGAAGAGAUCACAGAAGGCUUUGUGGACAAAAGUGCAUUUGCAACAGGGUCUUAUUUCAAAACAUAUUCAAAGCCAGAGGCUCUUGGUAUGUAAUAGUUCAAGGAAUUAGCUGAAAACUUCAAAAGAAAGAGAAAGAUGUCAGAAUGAAAAAUAUAUUUAGAAUAUUAUUCCUUAAAAUUGUUUGCCAUUUAGAAAACAUCUUUUGCUUUUGCAGAGUGUAGGAGAAAGUGACAUUACAUAAAAGUCAUUCCCUUCAAAAUAGCUAAGAAGUCUUAUAGGGUUAAUAAUAUCUACCCAAUAGCAGAAGAACUGGUCAUUUAAAAAAACAUUAAUAUUGGACUUUUGGCCAUGAGUAAGUAUGUUGUGAUCAUGUUGUUAGGUAAUUCCAAGUUCAAUCAUGGUUUUCCAUUUUACCUGAUGCCAAGUAUAGCUGGAAAAUGAAAGGCAAAUGUUGUAAAUAUUCCCUCAAUUGAACCCAAACUGGUAGUCUCUAGCUAAAGAAAAGAUCGCCAGAAAAUACCAAGAAUUCUUCAAAUUAGCUAGGAUGAUAAUGUUCCUGUUUUCAGUGACAGCGCAUGAAAUUACUUCACUGCGGUUUCUCAUGUCAUCCAAUAGGGCCCUCUAGUUUACAAGAGGAAUAUUAAAGGCCAUUAGUUUUAUUUUAUUUUAGCCUUUUUUACUCCUGUUCUGUCCUUUGAAUACCACUGAUAGCUUCCCUAACUAAUCACCACGUAGGUAACACAAGGAAAUGGAAGGUUCUCAUGUAAACACAGUUGAAUUAUUAAUCUUUCCCUUUAUGGAUAAUGCUUUUGUGAUCUUCUUAAGAAAUAUUUACCUCUCCCAAAGGUCACAAAUCUAUUAUCUUAAACUGAACUUUCUAACCUUCACACUGCUGUCAUUGGAGAAUCCCCCAAAAUCUCAUGUCUUAAAGGCUCAGUUACCAGCCUCAGGCAUUAUGGAGAGGUGGGAGGCCUAGUGGGAGGGAGUUAUGCUAUUGGGGUUGUACCUUUGUAGGGGAUAUUGGGACUCCAGCCACUUCCUCUCUCUCUCUUUGCUUCCUCGAUGCCCCAAGGUGAGAUCUUUGCUCUACCUCGUGCUCCCUGCCAUAAUGUUUUGCCUCACCAUAGUCCCAAACCAUGAGACCAGGUGACAUGGACUGAAACCUCUAAAACUGUGAGCCAAAAUAAGUCUUUUAAAUCCUUCCUCCUUAUAAGCUAAUUAUCUGUAUUUUGUUACAGCAACAAAAAUCUAACACAUUUUGAGCAAUAAUUUAUCUAAGAUCAAGAUUUGUUUUUUUUCUAUGUGACUAAUUGAUGCAAUACCUUCAUCAAAAAGGUCUAUUUCACUCAUUACCCUACAGUGGCACCUCUGUAAUAAACUGAGUGUCUAUGUAUAUGUGUUUUUUUUUCCUGUGUUCUAUUCUGUCCUAUUGAUUAAUUUGGCUAUCUAUGCGCCAGUACCCCACAGUUUUAAUUACUAUUAUUGUACAAUAAAUCAUGAUAAAUGGUGUGUAAGCCACAACUUUUCUCUUCUUCAAGAUUGCCUUGAGUUUGCUUGACUCUCUCCUCAGAUAUCUCUCCUCCCAUGACGGUCUCCUUGCAUGGAGGUGACAAGCAAUUGCUAUCAUCUUAUAUCUAGCCAUGACUGUUCUCCCCUGCCUAGCCCCUGCAAGUGUUUGAAAGCUUAGACUUCAGAAUAAUACCUGAAGUGCUGCUUAUGCUACAUGUCUUUUAAUGACAGCUGAUAGACCUGGCUCUAGGGCCUCACCUCCUUCCUUCUGCCCUGCCACACCCUCACAAUUCCAGCCAUACAAACUAUCUGCAUGUCCCCAAACAAAUCUUGAUUUCUCAUGCCCAUUCUGCUCAGUGCCUUUUCUUAUGCUUUUUCUCUGUCUAGAAUAUUCUUCCAACACACUGUUCAGAGGGAUCAUUUUAGAGACUUUACCAUGUUUUCAAACCCUAUAUUCAACAUAUCACAUCUCCUAUGUACCAGUCCCUAGACUGGAAGCUGGAGGUACUGCUGUAACUGAUGCUGGACCCACCCUCCAUGAGGAAAAAGGGAAAAUGAGCACUAACCAACAAAGAGCACAACCACCCUUUAAUUCAAAUGUGUAGCUGAAAAUCAGGAUGUUAGAAAAUGAUGUCUGUUGCCUUCUUGUGACUGGACAUUGGUAGAAAACAGCAUAAUAUAGGAAGACAUGAGGCAUAGUAGUGAAUUGGACAAUGUAGAACAGACUGUGGAAUUGAGGGGGUAGGUAACAAGGAAAACAGCCCAAGUUGGAGGCUGCUUUUAUAACAGAACAAUCACCAGGAAUAGACAUGUGUCAGUCUAAAGGCAAUCCUAUACAGUAUUAUUGUUGUGAAACCCAUCCUCUCAGAAACACUUAUUUUACUUUAACUCUUGAAAGGGGUCCCAAAAGGCCAUUUUAUCUUCUUACAUUAUAGGCUAACAAUAUUGAUAUGACUAAGUCAUGUUUAAACAGCUAAAUCAUGGCAGGGGAGGAGAUAGAAUCAAGGCAUAGGGGGUCCUAGAACAGAUCAGCCUUUCUCCUCCAACAGUCAACCCAGGGAAGAUCUCCUCAUAGCUGAGGGGCUAAUCUUGUUUAGAGAUCUCAUUUUUCACUUACUCAUUAGUCUCAUUCAUACACUAAAAGCUAAGAAGGACUUGCCAGGAACAGUCUGACAGUCUUUCCAACUAUACCUUGCAUAUUCAAAUUUCAUGUGCCCAUGUACAACUGUCAUGCCAAGAUAUGUUAGCUUUUUGUACUGUGACAAAUAUCUGAUAUUAUGGUUUAGAUGUGGUGUCCCCUAAAAGCUUACAUGUAAGACAAUACAAGUGGUGAACUUCUCAAUCUUGGAGAAGAAAUGAAGGAAAAAUGAUUGGAAUAUAGCUUGACUUAAUCAGUAAAUUGAUCCCUAACAGAAUUAGCUGAGUGGUAAGUGGAGUCAGGUAGGUGUGGCUGAAGGAAGUGGUUCAUUGGGGGUGUGGCUAUGGGGUAUAUAUUUUGUACCUGGAGAGCAGAGACACUAUCCCCCUCACUUUCCUUUCUAAUCAUCAUGUCAGUUGCUUCCUUCCACCACACUCUUCUGCCAUGUUGUUCUACCUCACCUUAAGCCCCAAGGAAUGGAGCCAGCCUUCUAUGGACUGAGACCUCUGAAACCAUGAGUCCACAAAUAAACUUUUCCUCUUCUACAUUGUUCUGGUCAGGUAUUUUAGUCACACCACUGAAAAAGCUGACUAAAACACAAAUUGGAACCAAGUGGAGUUGUUGCUAUGAGUAACCUGACCAUGUGAUUCAUAAGUUUUUGGAGCAUUUUGGAAUUGGUUGGAGGAAUUUUGAGAUGUUUAGCAGUGCAGGCUGGAAAUGCUUUAGAUUGUUGUAAGCAGAGCUUAAUGGCCAAUUCUGGUGGGAGCUCAGAAGACCAGAAUGCCAAUAGGAUUUUGGACAGUGAAGACAGGGCUCAAGAGGGUUCAGAAAAGGAGGACUCUAUUGGAAUUUGGAGUGCAGGCCAUUCAUGUUAUGUUCUGACUGAGAAGUCGUCUAUAUUUUGCCCAUGUCCUAAGACUUUUUAUGAAACUGAUUUUAAAAGUGGUGAAAAAAACAAGGGAGAGAAUUAAACAACAGCAGAUGGGGUAGAGAGGGAAGAUGAGAGGGAAGGGGAGGGGGGAUAGUAGGGGAUAGGAAAGGCAGCAGAAUACAACAGUCAUUAAUAUGGUAUUAUGUAAAAAUGUGGAUGUGUAACCGAUGUGAUUCUGCAACUUGUAUUUGGGGCAAAAAUGGUAGUUCAUAACCCACUUGAAUCAAAUGUAUGAAAGAUGAUAUGUCAUGAGCUUUGUAAUGUUUUGAACAACCAAUAAAAAAAUAAAAUGUAAAAAAAAAGUGGUGAACUUCUUAAUCUGGCAGAAGAAAUGUCUAGGCAGCACAGCAUUCAGGCGGUGGCAUGGAUAUUGCUGGUGGCUUUUAGCCAAGUUUAUUGUGAUAAUCAGGAGCAGAAAGCAAAGCAGAGAGAUUUUUAAAACUUGGACUUCAAAGGUGAGAGCAAAAUUGGGGCUAAGAAAGUUGCAGAUGUUAAAGAUCUUACUUCCACUAAAGAAAUGCUAAAGAUUUUUCCCAGAGACAAUAAGAAAGAUGGCUUGAGGGCAUCUCAGGAGCGAGCAAGACCACACCAUCUCAGGCUUAUGAAAGUGAAAGUUUUCUUGAGAAGAAACCAGUGGGGAAUCUUCCUUGCACAAGGGGGCCUAGGAAGUUUUUUCAACAUGCUCAGCCACCCAGGCACACAGAGGCUGAUGCACCCAGGCACACAGAGGCUGAAGCAAUGCAGGAUACUAAAGUUAGGGGGUCAUGGAGGCUUCCACCAAGAUUUCAAAGGAAGGCCAGGGAGGCCAGGAAAAGUGCAGCAGGGCCAGAGUACCUGCAGGCAACUGCUGAGAGGGCCAAUAUGUGAAGAUUUGAGGAAGAAGCAAAAGCUGUAGUGGAGACUAAGAAAUACCAGUAACAUGGGACAUCAUCCUAGGAAAGCUGCAUGAAUCGGGCAGAGACAAGCCAACAGAAAGGACACUUGGGCUGCAACCAAUAAGGCCAUAGGGGCAGAUCUGCACAAACCCUUUGGACGGAACAUCAUGAUGCCAUGUGCCCCCGAUGCCAGAAGUGGAGCUAUAGGACCUGUUUGCCCAGCUGGAUUUCCAUCUUGCUUUGGUCCUAUCCCUUCUUUCUAUGCCCUUAUAUUUGAAUGGAAAUGUCCAUUCUGUACCUUUAUAUAUUGAAUACACUUGUAAAUUGCUUUUAAAUUUACAAGAGCUUACAAUGUAAGAUUGACUUGAGCCUCAAAAAGACUUUGGACUUGAAUUUUGAGUAAUCUCAGAACUGUUGAGACUAUGAGGACUCUUGGGAAUGGACUAAAUGUACUUUGUAUUGUCAGAUGAGUGUGAGAUUUUGGGAACCAGGGGCAGAAUGUUAUGGUUUAUAUUUGGAGUCCCACAAAAGCUCAUGUGUGAGGUAAUGCAAGACGAUUUGGAGGAGAAACGAUUGGGUUAUAGCUUAACCUAAUCUGCUAAUUGAUCCCUGAUGGGAUUAACUGGGUGGUGGCUGGGAGCGGGCAGGGUGUGGCUAGAGGAAGGAGUUCAUUGAGGGCGCUGCUGUGGGGUAUAUAUUUUUUAUCUGAAGAGUGGAGUCUCUCUCUCACUCUCUCUGUCUUCUGAUCAUCAUGUGAGCUGCUUCCCUCCUCCACAUUCUUCCUCCAUGUUGUUCUGCUUCAUCUUGAACCCCAAGGAAUGGAUCCAGCCUUCUAUGGACUAAGACCUAUGAAACCAUGAGCCCUCAAAUAAACUUUUCCUCCUCUACAAUUGUUCUGGUUGGGUCUUUUAGUCACAGCAGUGAAAAAGCUGCCUAAAACACACGAGAAAAACAAUUUAGAGGUCAGGGAAAGGUUUAUGUUGGCUCCUGGUUUCAGUCCAGAGGUCUCCUUGCUCCAUUGCUUUGAGCCUGGGAAGGGGCAGAGCAUCAUGGCAGAGGCAUAGUAAAGAAAAAAUUUUGGUGCUCACAGCAGCCUGGAAGCAGAGACAAAGAGAGAGCAAGGGGCCAGUGACAAGAAAUAACCUUCCAGGGCAUCCCCCUUCUGCCAGUAAUCUACUUCUUCCAACCACACCUCUGCCUACAGUUUCCACCAACUCCCAGAAGUCAAUUCAGCUGUCAAUGUGUCAGUCCACUGAUAAGGUCAGAGCCUUUGUGACCAAUCAUUUCCCAAAAGCCCCACCUCUGAACACUGCUGCAUUGGGGACCAAGCUUUCAGCACAUGAGCAUUUUAGAUCUAAACCAUAACAACAGGUUGCCAGGAAGUAAACCACAGCAUAUACUGAUAGACCAUAUCAUCCUUUCUUCAAAAAUAUUCUUAAGUUAAAAAUCUUGCAGCUAUAGAGGCCUAAGGGGUUCACUGAUUUAAUUGCUAACAACUUAUGCUUCCAUCUACUACCAUUGAAAGAUGACUAGUAAUGAUGAGUUAAUUCUCACAGGACCUACUGAGAGAAUUUGUUCUUUUCACAUGUCUGUAGAAAACUGAAAUCAUUAAUGAAAAAUAAAAGAUGAUAGAAUAGGAAGAAAGCUUUAAGAAAAGGGAAUAAAAUCUACUUGAAAUAAAAUGCUCCUGUCCCCUCAUCUCUAUGCCCAUUUAUUUUCUUCAACAAUUUUUAUGCUCAUUUAUUCUUCCCUAAGGAGCAUUUCCAGUUUCAUUCCAAAGUCUGGCUCCAGCUCUUUGUAUAUACAUUUAACUUUUAAGCUGUGAAGUGCAGUAUAAUAUGCCCAGUGCAUUGUAACAGAUAAAUAUUUAUUGAAUUAAUAAAAAUGAUACAUAUUAUUUUGUUAUUUUCCUUCUUCACAUAUGUAUUUUCUUCUUUCAUUUAUGCUAGAGCAGAACUAGGCACUGCUCUAAUAGCUGCUUAGACGAUUUGAUACAUUUAUUACUUCCUGCCUUUCUCAAUCACUAUUUGACUUCUGGACUUUUGUAACUGAAUAUUUUUUUUUAUUUUCCAAAACUAUUUCAAGUGUAGGAAUGACAAGGAAUCCAGUAGAGAUAGAAACGCAGAAUGUGAGCUGUAUUAAGAAAGAAGAAUUCUUAACAGAGAUAAAUACCAAAAUGGCAAAGAAACAUUCUUACAUUUUUUUCUUGUUCCUCUUUGUCCAUUCUUCCACUCCCUCCUUCUGUCAUCCAGGUUUUUCAACAUUUCUGUCCUUAGACUGAAGUAAUGCAAAUCCAUGUUGCUAAUGUUCUUCAUACAUUUGACUUCUCAAAGCUAUGCCUAUCCUACCUAGGUGGUAAUGGAUUGCAAGAGUUUCUAAGAGACAUCAUAGCAAGUCAGUCACAGAGCAAGCCAGAGGAAGCACCUGGGUCUGCUGCUCUUCCAUUAUGAGUAGCCUCAUUAGAACAAGCCAUUAGAUCUUUGUCUUAGAUCUUCAAGAUGAUGCAUGGUCAUCAUGACCGCUAUAAUUAGAACACUGUUUAUGGAGUUUUACAAAGUGCAUAGCAUUGCGCUUGGCACUAGAAAAUCAAGAGGUCAUAAGAAAUACCUUCUUCACAGCCUACAAGCAACUUGAAGAUCCAGUGUGUGCUUGUGCAUGUGAGGAUGGUAACUGAAAAUUAAAUUUUAAAGUUUGGAAUUGGAAACUUAAAUUGGAAGAUUAGUGAAAUUUUUCAACUGGCUAUCCUUAAAAUCGUGCAAUAUUAACAGAAAAUGUAGAAUAAAAAUAUGCAAAUGAAAAAUAAGAAGUAAGAGAGCUUUUAUAGAAAAUGAACUCUUUCUAAUUUUUAGCCUAACUUUAAUUUUGAUUAUACCCUUUAAAUUUAAAAAAAGUUAAAAUAUCAGACUGCAUAUGCUAAAUACAAAACAAGUAAUUGGUGUGCAAGCAACAAAUAUGAAAGUUCACAUGAGAAAAGAGUCUGGGAAUUAUCCUGGAUGCUCCUCCAAGUAAACUUAGUACAUACAAUUUCCAUCCUCAAGGAAUUAAAACUCAAUACAGGUUGUUAUGUCACAAAAAAAAAAAAAAAAAACCAAACUGUAGCCACUAUGUGACAAGGAAACUUUUCUGAAUUAAUGAUAUUUACUUUAUACACAGUCUUCCAAAAUAAUUCAGUCUUAACAUGUUCAUAAGUAUACACAGACCAAAAGUAUCCAAAAUAUCUAUCAGAUAGUAUUCCUGUAUAUGUCACAUUGAAUAACUAAAGUUCAUUUGUCAUUAGAUGAUUAUUAAUAUACAACAAAAUGCCAUAAAACUUCUUUAAGAUGCUUUUGAUGAUUGAACAUCUUAUUUCUCUCAAAAAGGUCCAAUUUCAUCCUUGCCCAAUAAAAUUGCAUGCUAUCUUUUCAGCAGCAUCCAAGCUUAGUGCAAAGUUUCACUUGUCCAAGCCCCACCCCGAGACUGAAUCAAUGAUUGCAAGUUGUGACUUCUGUGAGCCUGGCAAGGAGGGACUUCUGCAGUCAGCAACCCAGGCUUCUCUCUUUCACAGGCUUGGGAUGUAGAACAAGGUCAAAAUAUUUAAUUUGGAAGCGACAUAUUCCUCUGCUGGUUUACCUUAGGAGGUCUCAAACAUUGAGGUAUUUGGUUUACAAAGAACUUCCAGACAAAAGAGAUUGGUUUCAUUCAGGCAAGGAGGACAAAACCUGAAAAAUGAAACACUGUUCAUGGCUCUUGAUUACAAGUGACAGAAAUCCAAUUAAAACUAGUUUAAUCAAAAAGAGAAUUAGUUCCCUUUAUUGGAAAUCCAGGGGAGAAUCUGGCUUCAGGAUCUCCAGUUAAUAAAGUUUUCUCUCUCCUCUCACUCCUAUUCUUGUGGCAGCUUCUCUGUAUGAAUUAGCUUCAUUCUCUCAAGCUAUGGAGGCUGGGUAUGGGAUAGUCAGAGCUGGAGAGUAGAAUUUGAAGAAACAUACCUAGAAGUCAGUUGGCCAUUAGCUACAUAAAUACAGAGCUCAGGAGAAAACUAUCAACUAAUAAUUUUCAUAAAGCAUGAUGUCAUAAUAAUGUAUAUGUAGCAUCAUCUAAAUACAGGCACUUUACUAAGCAGUAAAACUCACAAGGCCUUCAAAAUCCUGUGAGGUAGUCUCAGAGAUUUAAGUGAUUUGUCCAGAUUCCCAUAACUACCAACCUGGGGGCUGCCAUACUCUAACCCAGGUCAGCCUGAUUCCUGUACUAUGUGACAAUUGACCAAAGUGUAGGCUGCUACAGAUCUGCAACCAUCCUCCCCAACAAUUCCCAUCCACAAAGGGAGCUGCCUUGCCCGAGGUUAGGCCCCUUGAUAAGAGGUAUCCAGGUCCAACCUCCUUUCCUUAGUUUGGAAAACUGCAAAGAAUUUCUCACAGGGUCUUCUGAAGCCUCUGUCUCAACUGCACCUCACUUCAGUUUCUACUUCCCCUGCUUCCUUACACGCACUGUUGCCCUGUGUACCCCUGAUAAAACUCAUGUACACAAAACCCCAUCUUAGAGUCUGUUUCCAGGGAGCCAACCGAGGACAAGUUCAAAGCCUGGGAUGUUGACCUUUAUUAUAAACUACCUCUUCAAAUCAAGAUUGUUGACUUUGCCUGUUUAACUACAAAGAGAUAUUGAGAAAUGAAUCAUGAAGUUUUGAAAAUGAGCAAUUUCCAAACAGGGGACAAAAAAAAUGGUCCCAUGACAUCCUCAGAAAGGUAACAUAAUUUUAUGUGAAUUGUGGACACAGUCAACAAUUUUUCAAGGUAAAUAUUUUAUGUUCUCUAUUACAAAGCUGAGCAGAAGGCCUUCAUCAUAUUGCUUUACCCUUUUCUGUCUUCCCAGCAAAUUAAACUGUUUGAUGAACUACCUAAACUUUGAAGCUUCUCCUUUGUGCAGUUUUACAACACCUAGCUCCCCUGCACAUUGGAAACUGUUUGGAUACAAACUGUUUCCUUGAGGAGCAACUGUGGAGUCAUGUACUUUAAAAUCGCUGGGAAUUUGUUAAUAUUUGUUCAAUUCCCAUGGUAUGUAACAUAGGCACAAAGUGGCCAGUUCCUAAUCUUAACCUGAGUUGCAACAGAAUUCACACAGAAAGACGAGGAGCAAAGGGCAUGCUGUUCUUUUAGUACUGGAAGGGUAUUUCAAGGUCAUCUGGUUCCUCCAGAAUUUUUUCAGAAAAUAGGCAUUUUUUUUCUUCCCUCUCAAUAUUUUCACUAGCAAAUGUUGGUCUCCGUAUUAUGUUUUCUGGAAUUCUAGAAAGUCUCCCGUUUCUUCCAAGUAUUUGUCCUCAUUGGUUUGACCACUAGAGGUUCUUUUUCUGAUGUCAGAGAAAGUUGUCGAAGGGACCAGAAACCCUUUAAGUCCUUUCCAUCCUUGCAAGUUCAGUAUGAGUGUGACUGAGUUUAUCAGAAACUUUCCAAAGAAGGGAUUUUGAUGAGUAGGUUAUUGGGUAGGAAGAUGGGGCAGAAAACCAGCACUGGAACCAUUUUUCUCAGGAGACUUUACAGACAUCCCAUUGGAGCCUCAGGUGACCCUCGGGAAGGAAAAUAAUUUUAGAAAAAUAGGUAAAAUUUACAACAUAUUAUCUCUCUAAAGAAGCAGACAGUGGCUCCAGAUGUGGGCUUACCUAACUUAAUAGCCCUUAUUCUAACCACACCCAACAUGAGGGGAAACCAUCAUGUCAUCAUGAUGAAGAGAAAGCAGGAACAAAGACACAGAACAAACCCUUCCCUCAUGAAUGUCACUGGACCAGGCUUCAGGACUGAAGGCAGCAGAGAGCUCCACAAAGCAGGGUCAGAAGACUUGGGGCAAAUGUCUUCUUCCCAACAAAUAGAAAAAGUUCCCAUGAGCAGCGUGUGGAAAGGCCACCUUCUCUGUAAACAAGGACAGGAAUGUCUGUAAACCUUACUCAGAAGCCUGAGAUAGUAGAUUUUUGGUCAUUUAUUGCCUAAAUCACCAUUUUUUCCCCACUGCCUGCCCUCAGACAGAAUUGUACUCUCUGACUGUGACUUUGGAGGCAGGUACAGAAGGAAUCACCGAAAGGUAUCUGAAGUAAGUGCUUUCCUGAGCAGGUCCCUACGUGAAGCUACAGUUCAUUCUCAAAUAAAAUAGUAUUUUUCAGGGUGGGGGGGAUUGUUCACUGCUAAAGUUAUUCACAGUGACUGUCCCUAUAACAGCAAUAACAUUUAAGAGUUUGAUGUCAAAAAUGUCUCCUUGGUUGUGCAGAAAUAUCUCUGAGUCAACUUUAGUUCUCCAAGAGUAUAGGACCCUUAUGGGUAUCAUUAGGAUCAAAGUUCAUCCAAGUUCAAAGAAUUUAUACUAAGAUAUUUAUGCAUUAUCAUAGUUCUAGCCACCUUUUCUCCUCUUGGGAUGUCAGACUUGGAGCUCAAUAGUGUUCUGAUGGAGGGAACAUAACAUAAAUAGGGACAUAGGCUUGAGAAUUAGAUAACAGUAAGUCUCGGUUUUACUAUUCACUAGGAUGUAGAUUUGGACAAGUGAUUUAAUCUCACUAGGCCUUAGUUUCCAUGAGGAUAAAACAGUAAUCCACAGGGAUCUAAUAGUGUCAUCUUGAGAGUUAAAUGAAAUAAGACUUGUUAAUCCUUUAGUGUUAUCUCUUCAACUCUCACAACAGGUUUAUGGAUUUGGAGAAUGGAAUUGAAAGAGACUUGACCUGAGAUUUUGCUUCCCUGCCACGUGAGCAUGGUCCCUCAGAAGAAAAUGUGUUCCUUAGGCUGACAGAAUGGAUAUUGAAAUCACUUCCUUGACCCACCUCUGAACAAAAAUCCACAAGGUUAGUAACUAAGGGGCAAUUUCACAACUUUAAAACCUCAGUUUACAUUUCCCCCCAAAUAAUCUACUUUUUAAAAAUCAAGGUAAGAAGAAGAGAGAUUAAAUUUUACGAAGCCAAAAAUAUAAAUAAUCCAUCAAAAAAACAAGUGCCUCCAAAACUCGUUUCAUGACAGAAAAGCAAAAAUAAUCUUACAUUCAAUUCUAGAAAGUAAAUGUUUUAACCUUCUAUUUCUCUUCUACUUGUAACAAUAGAAGUAAGAUAAUUACCCACCUGUAGGAACAUUUUUCAAACACACAUGUCAUCUCUGAGGCUGUGUGCUGUCACAUAGACUUUAGAAUUCAGACUACCUGACUCUAAUCUCCACUUUAUCGUUAACUAGCUGUGUGGUGAUACUCAGUACUUCUGAGCUACCAGGCUCUCAUCUUUAAAUUGGAGAUAUUAAUUGCUACCUUCAACCGACAUGGUAGGCUCAUGUUGCCUUGGCAACCAUUCUUCCACACCUUUUCCAAGCCCUCAGAGCCCUCCACCCAGCGGAGGUGAAAAUUGCCAUUCACUUUCCCAGCUUCUCUCAUAAUUAGGAACAGGAAUGUGACUCUUUCAUGGCCACCAUAACAUAAUAGGAAGUCUUCAAGAGUGUUCUGGAAGAAAGCAUUCCUCCCUAAUAAAUAAAAGAAACACAAGAAAAAAAUAUAUUGUGUUAUGUGGAGAAAUCAGCCACAAUGGUUUAACCAUAUUUGGGCAUGUUUUCUGUUAUCUGCAGAACAAACACCCUAACUUCUAUAUUUUUCCUUUAGAGAUCCUGAAGGAAGAAUAAGUGAAAAACUUCAGUGAAAGUUCAAAGGUUAUAGUGCCUAUGCAUAAUAUUACCCUUAAAUCUAUUACUUUUUCUGUAAAAUUAAUUCUACUCUUCCCAAUAGUUUGUUGAUUCAACUACCUACCAGUUACUUAUUUAAUUAUUCUCAACCUGUUUGCUUGCCUGCAAAUUGCAGUUAAUAAUACUUACUUCAUUGGGUUAUUUCGAGAAACAUGCAAACAAGAUGCAGCAUCUAUCACUAGAGGUGACUCCCUUUCAAAGUGAAGUGGCACAUCCUGAUAAGGUCCAGAAUUUCUUGGUGUUGAUGGAACUGGAUUAGAAAAUUGCUUAGGUUCUUUGCAAAAUUGUCCAUAAAUAAGGAUCUGGCAGAGUUGAACAAGUUAGCAGGUGAAGAGAGGAAACAAUGAUAAAUAGCUAUUUCAAAGGAGAAUGAGUCCAGAUUGGAAUGUAAAAUGGCCUAGCUGCUUUGGAAAACAGUGGGGAAGUUCCUCAAAAUAUUAAACACAGAGUUACCAUAUGACCUAACAAUUCCACACCCCAGGUAUAUAACUAAGAAAAUUUAAGACAGUCAUUGAAAAAAUUACUUCUUCUUGUGUCCAUGGAUGGUAGCACUACUCACAGUAGUGAAGAGGUACAAGCAACCAAGAAAUCCAUUGAUUGAGGAAAACAUGAACAUGUGGCAUGUUUAUACAAUGGAAUAUUACUUUGCAAUAAAAAUGAAGUACCAAUAUAUACUAUGUCAUGAAGUACUGACACAUACUACAACAUGGAUGAACAUUGAAAAGAAUAUGCAAAGUAAAAGAAGACAGUCACAAAAGAGCAUAGUGUAUGAUUCCAAUCAUACACAGUGUUCAAAUUAGCAAUCUAAAGAGAGAGAUUAGGUUGCCCAGGGUUUAAGGGAGAGGGUGAAGGAAAGGAUUGGGUAUCAAUUAGGGAGUGACAGCUAAUGAGUAUAGGACUUAUUUAGGGGUGAGAAAUAAUUAUAAAAUUGGCUAUGGAAAUGAUUACAAAAAUCUGUGAAUAUAGUAAAAGCCAUUGAAUUGAAUUGCACAUUUUAAGUGGGUAAAUUGUGUGGCUAUGUUAGUUAUAUCUCAUCAAAGCUGUUUUUCAAAGAUAAGCAUAGAGGAAAAAAUGGCUUCAAUGUCAGAGGAUGAGAAACAUCCUCAGAAAAAGAGAUCAACCUUCAAAUAUUUUUGCAAAAAUGCUCCUGUUUAUAACCAAUUUGUGGAAGUCAAAUGUGCAGUAUAAGAUAGUAUUUGGAGCAAUUUUAUAAUUUACCCAAGAAAAGGUAUACCAAAAAGAAAAAGAAAAAUAACUAAUCAACACUUGAUACAUCCUUUAUUCUAAUUAGUGCAUUGAUUCAUAACCUUCAGCGUAUUCAUUGUAAGAGAAAGUAUCAUUAUUUGCAUAAUAUUUAGUUUCUAUUUAAAGAUAACAUUCCAACUGUGUUAAUCAGAUUUUCAUCUCUGUGACCCAAAUACCUGAUAAGAACAACUUAGAGGAGGAAAAGUUUCUUUGUGGCUCACAGAGGUUCAGUCCAUGGUCAGCCAACUCCAUCACCUUGGGCCUAAGGGGAGGCAGAAUACUAUGGUGGAAGGAAGGACAGUGGUGGAGGAAAGUUGCUCACCUCAUGGUGGCCCAGGAAGCAGAGAAAGAGAGGAAGUGAGUGGCCACAGGGCGGAUGCAUCCUUCCCAGGCAUGUGGACAGUAACCCCGCUCCUUCAGCCACGCCUACAGUUACCAUCCAGUUAGUUCAUUCAAACUGGGAUGGACUGAUUAGGUUAUAUCUCUCAUAAUUCAAUCAUUUCACCUCUGAAUAUUCCUGCAUUAAGAGGAUUUGAGGGACACCUCAUAGCCAAACCACAACACCAAUCAAGCUAUUUGUUGAUGAUUAGUUAACUACCAGGAAAUGUUGGUAUCUUUUUAAAUAGAUUUGAUUUCAGAGCUUCUUUCCUGGUACCAAUUAUUUUAGAUAAGAAGUUAGAUUGCAUCUACACAGGUAGAGACAUGUUCUUGGAAGUUGUCAAUAGCUCUUUUACAUUUGGUGAUUCAUGUCAAGGAUGCCAAGAGGAAUCCUUCCUAAGAAGCAGUUUAUAUGUUUAGCUUAGUAUAUAUUUCCUAGAACUUUCUUUAAAGACCAGAUCUUAUGACAGAACUAUUUUGAGGAGAACCUAAAACAAUCCAAUCCAGAUCUCCCAGCUCCAUGCCUAGCUAAGUUUUUUCUACAAUACCUCUGUGACAUUUUAAAUAACAUCCUUCAGCUGUAACAGGAAUUUAAGGAUGAAAUCUCCUGAAGAACAAAAAUGAAAACAUGUGCAGAUUGAAGGGGCAAUUUAAAGGGCUAUUGUGGUCAUUAAUGUCCUCUGGAACUUGAUACAGCUAUACACAGGGACACACACCCAGGGUUUUGACAAAGAGAUGCUGCUGAGUUUUGCUAGAGCUUAGAUCCCAAAAGUUGAUUUUAAUUUUUGAUACUGCCCACCAUGCUGCUGCCUAAAGCAAGAGACAUUGCUGAGUCUUCAAAUGCACUUGUGUAAAGUCAUAUUGUUUAAAAGGGUUUUCUUUUUUCUUUUGCUUGCCACAUCCGAAAUUCUAGCUUUAAUAGAAAUACUCUUUUUAAGAAUCAAGAAUUAAGGGGAGGAAAAAAAGAGUUAUAGAGGACGAUAACGAAAGCAGUUAUCAAAUAUUUGGUAUCAAAUACCAAAAUGUUUUCCUCAGGCCCACAUGACAGAUAUUGCUAAUCCAUUGCUUCACUCUGCCAAUGAUUUAUUGUAAAUAAAUAAGUAGGGAAACAUUUACCAUCACUGCUUAUGCUACUGAUUCAUAAGAGUCCAGAAGAUAAAGUGCUGAUUGCUCUAAGUUAUUAAAAUCCUACCUAUUCUUUAAGACACAGAGCAAAUUCCAUCUUCUUCACAAAGCCAUGCAGGUCCAGGCCCAAGUUCUAUAGCAUAGACAGCAGACACAUGGACAUCUUGAUAGACUUUACAUCAGAAUGCAAAUCUUGGCCCUGCCACACCUUGCUAAGGGACUUCUGUCUUUAAAUUUUAACAACAAUGAAAGUAUUUUACUGGAAACUUAUAUGCAAUGCAAUAUUUCUAAUCCUUACAAGCAGGUGACUAUUAUUAUUCUCCAUGGUAGCACUGAGGAAACAGCAGUAAAUAACUGGGCUAGGGUAGCACAUUCAGUAAAUGAAUCUCCAAAUUUCAACAAAUAUGUAUACUCCAAUUUAUUAUUCUACCUCUCUCACUUCAUAUAUCACUUAAUAGAUACUCAAUCAGUAGUGGUGCUUAUUACAUGUGCAUUAAACAACAUUUUGGGGGGGAUUUUAAAGACCAUAUUAACUAACCACUGUGUUCUCAGAGGGGCUGAACUUCACACGUACAAUAGGCAACCUGGACCUUGAAUGUUACAUUCUACGAAUUCCAUGCAUGUAUGACUAUGUCAGAAUGAACCCCCUAUUGUAUAUAACUAUAAUGUUUUAAUAAAAACAUUAAAAAUAGUUUUUUUUAAAAAAACUGUAGCAGAGAUCCAAAAGCUAUAAAAUUCGAAAAAUUAGAUAUCUGCCAUUUCUCUUUUGUUUCUUCUUGGGGAAAAAAAAAGCAUUCAUCAAAAAUGCAAAACAAUUUGACCAUCAUUUACUAUGUGAAAUCCAAAUUGAUUAACUGGGUAUAAUAAAAUAUUUCAAAAUAUUGCAAUUGACAAUUAAUGGAUGCUAUAAAAACAGCAUCUUUUAAUAGCAACGCAUGCUAAAAUUUCAUCAAUCACAUGUUUUACUCUGGAUACAAUUUUUUAAAAUUUUAAGACAAAUCAAAAGAAGAAUAAUAUAUUUAUAAGCAGUAGUGUUGGGCAAGAAUUCCAAAACUUUUAUGGAAUAUUUCAGCUCUUUUUUUAAGUCCUCAAGGCAAGGUUUGGAUGUCAACUUGAAACAUGUAAUUUGUAACAGAACGAAUUCCAUUGAGGGCCAGAAACUACUUGGGCUUAGCAAAUGGGAGUUUUUAUCUCUUAUCUCUCUUGCCCUUGGCAAUGUUCUAAGAAGUCUAGUUUCUGGGGGAAAAAAAUGGUAAAUGUGAUCAAAUUAAAAAUUGACGCUGAUGAGGCUGAACUUUCUCAAGCAUCAGCUAUUUGUCUUGGAUACCAAUCCACUAUAUUAGACCAGAGGACAAACUUCUAGUAAUAAUUGGAUGGGACUUUUGAUGCAUGGAAGCAAUGUGGCAUAGUGACAGGAAAAAAGACCUCUGUCUUUGUGACAGGAAAAGCAAACAAGGAUCUGAGCUUGAUAUUCGUAGUACUUGUACAAUUAUAUAAUAUGCAAAAGCUAGUCACUGAAAGCUCAGCUUAUGCUGGGGCAUGGUUUUAAAUAUUGGACCCUAAAAGUACUCCAAUGCUCUGCUUCUUCAUAUUUAAUAAUUCUAAUAAGAAACUAAAGAAAAUGUAAAUGAAUCGCUUACCAAAGUCCUUGGAACAUGGUGGAUGACUGAUAAUAACAGCUAAUAUAAUAUUAUUAUUUCUUUUUUUUUUAUUCCCCUACGUAUAGCCCAUUGAUUUUCCUAUCUUUUCACUUCCCCGCAAACCCUGAUGUUCUCUCUUCCUGACAAAGCUUGAAUUUCCUAAUUAAUCAUCAUAGUUGCUUCCCAUGAUAUUUAAUUGACAAUGCACUGUAGUUCCCUUGGCCCUGACUAUUCCUCUCUCCCUCAUUUGGCAAAGCCGCACCCUGGUUAAAUUUCAUUGCACACAUUACACCUGAAUUUCUGUGGCUAAAUGCCUAGUUUCAUCUUAAACCCUUCACCUCCAUUGGGUACUGAAAGGACUUUCUUAGUUUGUUAACUUUCCCAAUUUCCUGGGUGGCCUGUGUCUUUUCAAACCUCUAACAUCUCCUUGAUCUUGACUUUUUGGCCUUUGCUGUCUUUGCUAUUUCUCCCCUAAAACUGUUGACCUGGGAGUGCCCUCAGGCUUUCAGACCUCUUCUCCAUCUGCAUUGUCCCCUGGGGUGCUGAUCUUGUCCAAUCUUAAGGCUAUGAACACCAUCUAUUUUGGUGAUUACCAAAUACUUAUCUCCUGUCUAGACUUCUCCUUUGAAGUCCUUCUGCCUUUUCAACAUCUCUACUUGCAAGUCUAAUCCAGGGUUUUUCAGCCUCAGCACUAUUGAUAUUUUGAUAGGAUAAAUCUUCAUGUGGGGGAGCUGUUCUGUGCUUUGUAGGAUAUGUAACAGUAUUCCUGGCCUCUACUCACUAGAUACCAGUCUCCCUUCCCAAUUGUAAUACCCCAAAAUAUUACGAGACAUUGCCAAAUGUCCACCUAUGUGAAAAUGCUCCUAGGUGACAACACUGAGUUAAGGCAGUAUCGUGGUGGAUGUGAUCUCAAAG
rnacentral:lncRNA from 1 species